rfam:HIV-1 isolate 57 from Argentina nonfunctional gag protein gene, partial sequence.
UUUUUUAGGGAGAAUGUGGCCUUCCAGCAAGGGGAGGCCGGGAAUUCCU